ACCGCGAUAGCUCAGCUGGUAGAGCAUCUGCCGUAUGCGCGAGGGUCGCCGGUUCGAUUCCGGCUCGCGGCG
rnacentral:tRNA from 1 species